UCGCGCUAAUCGGGGAGUCAGCGGUGCCCUGUAGCCUGCAACCCGCUACAGCAGGGAUGAAUCCCGGCUUGCGGACUUGCGGUGUAUUUGCGCGCGCGGUAAGCGGCGUUGAAGAACCGGUCUUACGCAAUGUCUGACCGUGAACCGCGUCAGGCGGGGAACCGAGCAGCGCUAAGCGGAAACGGGCGUGUGCCGUAAGGCAUCCGGUUCUGAGCAGUCUGCCGCGAAGGCGGGUAUACCGUACUUUCAAGGGUCGGUGCGCGG
rnacentral:SRP_RNA from 1 species